CACGAACGCUGGCGGCGUGCUUAACACAUGCAAGUCGAACGGAAAGGCCCUGCUUUUGUGGGGUGCUCGAGUGGCGAACGGGUGAGUAACACGUGAGUAACCUGCCCUUGACUUUGGGAUAACUUCAGGAAACUGGGGCUAAUAUCGGAUAGGAGCUCCUGCUGCAUGGUGGGGGUUGGAAAGUUUCGGCGGUUGGGGAUGGACUCGCGGCUUAUCAGCUUGUUGGUGGGGUAGUGGCUUACCAAGGCUUUGACGGGUAGCCGGCCUGAGAGGGUGACCGGCCACAUUGGGACUGAGAUACGGCCCAGACUCCUACGGGAGGCAGCAGUGGGGAAUAUUGCACAAUGGGCGGAAGCCUGAUGCAGCAACGCCGCGUGCGGGAUGACGGCCUUCGGGUUGUAAACCGCUUUCGCCUGUGACGAAGCGUGAGUGACGGUAAUGGGUAAAGAAGCACCGGCUAACUACGUG
rnacentral:rRNA from 1 species